CUCACCUGCUCGCCCUCCCCCUUUUAACCCUCUCUCCUCCGCAGCAAACCCUAGCAUCCUCCCUCCCUCGCGCCGCCACCCUUCUCCUCUUCAUCUCCCUCGAUUUUCUUCUUCUCUGUGAACCAACGAACAACACUGGCACCCUCCUCCUCAUCAUGGCGUCGCCGCUGUAGACCUUCCCUUGCUGAGAUGAGACCACCAGAAGAUGCGCCUCGUCGUCCUCUUCGUCUGGGUACAAGGAAUCGAGCCGGGACCUCCUAAAUCAAGCGCAAGGUCGCCGUUUCUCCUCCAUGGCCGCCAUGCUCCGGCGUCGAUUCCGGCCGCCCUCGUCCUCCUCCGGCCAAACCAAGCACACCACCGGCUUCCUCAUGUUCAGCCGCACGUCCGCCACCAUCUCGUUCGUCCAGGUUUGCCUGGAGGCUCCAGAUCUUUGCUCGCCUGAGCCGUCCGCCAUGGUUGGUUCUUCCCAGAUGUUCCGCCGUGGUCGGGUUCAAAAAGGGCGCUUCCCUUUUCUCAGCACAAGCAUCUAUCUACUGCAGUGAUCUUGGGCAUCCAUGCUUCAGUUUACGUGGAGGCUUUCCAUAUUCAAAACCACCAGGCAGCCUAGCUGAUCCGUUGAUGGGCCUAGCCCAGUUCUACCCGGCGCAGCUCGCUCACCACGCGGCCCGAAUUAACCGUCGCCGAUGCACAGCAGAUCCGGCCCAGGACAUUGCAGCAUUUGCUUCUUCCCGGAUAGGAUCGCGAAGUGGUGUGGUGAGUUACG